rnacentral:lncRNA from 1 species
AGCAGGUGAAGGACAGAACCGUCCCUGAACAGCACUGUUUGAUUGCAAACAGUAAACAGAAUGGGGCAGCUUUAAAUCUGUACAAUAGCUGCACUUCUUAAUAUAUACAUGUAUACACAUACAUAUACUACAUACAUACAUAGACACACUACAUACACACACAAAUGCAGAUACAUGCACACACAUACACAAACAUAUACAUACACAAACACAUACAUAGGCACAUAUGCACACACAGAAACACUACAGACAUACACAGACACACUACAUAUACAUACAAAGGCACACACAAAUAUAUACAUACACUACAUACAUACACACACAAGUGCAGACACACACAAACAUAUAUAUAUAUAUAUGUACACAAAUACAUAAACAGGCACAUAUACAUACCCAAACACAAACAUAAACUGUACACAUAAACACACAUACACACACACAUUCACAGAGAGACACAUACAUACACAACGUACACACGCACGCACACAUGCACAUACUGAAAAAGACACAAAGGAAGCCAGCCAAUCAACACCCUCCACUCCUUAGUCCUGGAUGUGGCGCUGUCUGAUGGUUGUUUCCCAAGCCUCCUGCCAGGAAUUUGUACUGCUUUUGUAAACAGAAAGACAGUGAGCUGGGAGACUCCUUCCAGCCCCCACUCUCUUCUGACUGAC